rnacentral:lncRNA from 1 species
AGACGUAUAAGCAACACCUCGGACUCUCUUUAAACCAGUUUUAGUUCGGAGUUGCUUUCCAUGAUUAACAAGGUAUGUGGGAUGAGAACAGACCAGAAUGCAGAGCUUAUUAAAGACUGCGGGUCCAUAUGGAAUAUUUGCUGGUAGGGAUGCCUCCAGAGGACUGGCCACAUUUUGCCUAGAUAAAGAUGCACUUAGAGAUGAAUAUGAUGAUCUCUCAGAUUUGAAUGCAGUACAAAUGGAGAGUGUUCGAGAAUGGGAAAUGCAGUUUAAAGAAAAAUAUGAUUAUGUAGGCAGACUCCUAAAACCAGGAGAAGAACCAUCAGAAUAUACAGAUGAAGAAGAUACCAAGGAUCACAAUAAACAGGAUUGAACUUUGUAAACAACCAAAGUCAGGGGCCUUCAGAACUGCAAUUCUUACUCCCUUUCACAGACUGUCCGGAGUCUUUGGGUUUGAUUCACCUGCUGCGAAAAACAUUCAACAAAUUGUGUACAAGAUAAAUUAAUCUCACUAUGAAGAUUUGAAUAACUAGACAUUAUUUAUGCUGCCAAACUCAUUUGUUGCAGUUGUUUGUAAUGUCUAGUGGGGCUUCAUCAUCCUGAAAAGAAGGAGACAGGGAUUUUUUUAAAGAGCAAGAAAGUCACAAUAUUACUUCUUUCCUUCCUUUUUUCCUUCUUUCCUUUCUUCUUUCUCUUUCUUUCUUUUUAAAAUAUAUUGAAGACAACCAGAUAUGUAUUUGCUACUCAAGUGUACAGAUCUCCUCAAGAAACAUCAAGGGACUCCUGUGUCACAUACUGUGUUUUUAUUUUAACAUGGG